rnacentral:rRNA from 1 species
UACGGAGGGUGCAAGCGUUGUCCGGAUUUAUUGGGUUUAAAGGGUGCGUAGGCGGCCUUUUAAGUCAGUGGUGAAAGCCCAUAGCUCAACUAUGGAACUGCCAUUGAUACUGAAAGGCUUGAGUACAGACGAGGUUGGCGGAAUGGAUGGUGUAGCGGUGAAAUGCAUAGAUACCAUCCAGAACUCCGAUUGCGUAGGCAGCUAACUAGGCUGUAACUGACGCUGAGGUACGAAAGCGUGGGGAGCAAACAGG